AUUCUAGCUUUACAUUGAAAUGGAGGAAUAUUUCAGUGGCUCAGACAGUGACAGGUAUAUAGUUUUAUACUUUUAUGAUAGUCCAUUUUGCAAAUCAAAUUAAAGUGUCAUAUUGAACCAUUCAACAAUGACAGAGAACACAAGUUGUGUUUACUUGUGAUGAUUUCAUUCUCAUUCUCCUGUCUGAAGACUGCAGUAAUGACCAUUUAUGCAGCAGUUAAAUGAUUGGAAGUGUUAAGCACAAAUAAUGACUCUCUGGACUCAAAUUCAUGAGUAUACCCACCUUCUACUCUUGUUUGAAGUGAUUGUUGAUUCUUAUUUGGGUGAAAGGGAUUCAUAUAUGGUUUUUAUAGCUGAAGGAACUUACCUCAUCUCUUUUCAGAAGUUUUCCUCACUUCAACAGUUAGUGUAGUUCCGGAGCUUAAUACCUGGAUCUUGUUCCUGUGACAGAAAAAUGGCCUUCAUGCUCUACUUGUUCAAAUGGUUUCUGACUGGAAGUAAUCAUUAUAUGAAGCACGAUUUUCGACCACGCGAUGGGAGAAUUUUGCCUCGAAUUUUGCUGCUUUUGUAGGAUUAAAAACUGCUUCAGAAAAUUUUUCCUCGUGUUGUCGUUAGUUCAUUACUUCACUCAACAGUCAACACAAUGAGGCAA